rnacentral:lncRNA from 1 species
CCCAUCUCUGUCCCGUGGGUCUGACUCCUGCCCCGGCCCAAGGGCAGGGUCUCAGUACAUGUGAGAACAUCGUGAACAAGCAGGAGAGGAGGGAAACUGCAACAGAUGCUCUAGAAACACAAACAGGACUGUUUCUAAGAGUGCGACUGACGACUACGGUGUAAAAACGAUGACAUUUUAUUCGGUGCUGUCUAGGGAAUUUCCUAGCUCAAAAACCCACAAGGAAGAAAGACUGUUGUGACCUCAGGUGUUGAUGAUGUUUGCCAGUCUAAGAGGCGCCGCUGUUCCCUCCUGGGGUGGUGGCGUUGGGUUUGGAUUUCCUGGCAAGCGUGUUAAUGGGAUAAGCACUUCGCCAAUAUUCAGAGAAACUAGGUUUUAGUCAUCACUUCUUGUUACUCAGGAACACGAACUGCGGAAGCAGACACGAGCUCUCCCGGGCCUCAGUGACCUCAUUUUCAAAGGAGGCACUGUCGUGUUACAGGAAGUCUCACGCCUUUCCCCUGUGACGUCUCCGCGUGUUCCCCUCAGAUCCACGGUCGGAGGCGCCGUGUGCCUUCCCGAGACCGAAGGAAAUGCUCGGGAUAGAGGCGGACGCGAGGUGUGUGCGGGAAGACGUCCCGGGAGCUCCUCUGGGCGGCCGUCCACGGGAGCAGCCGUGGCCCUGGCCUGCUGCCCCCCUCUCUCCGAUAGCCCCCGCCUUGUGGAUUUCCGUGGGACUCAGAAGGAGGCCAACCAUGCAGGACCUGGCAUCAUGCAACUUCUGGCUCCUCCCCAAGGUCAAAAGGACCGUGAAAUGUGAACACUUUGAAUCCAGGACAUCAAGCCAGCCAGGAGAGAGCCACUGA